GGGUGGGUUGGCUCAGUGGGUAGAGCUUAAGGCUUGUAACCAGAAGGUCCCAGGUACGAGUCCCACCAGAUUCC
rnacentral:tRNA from 1 species